GAUGAAGAACGUAGUGAAAUGCGAUACGUAAUGUGAAUUGCAAAUUCAGUGAAUCAUCGAGUCUUUGAACGCACAUUGCGCCCCCUGGUAUUCCGGGGGGCAUGCCUGUCCGAGCGUCAUUGCUGCCCUCAAGCACGGCUUGUGUGUUGGGCUUCCGUCCCUGGCAACGGGGACGGGCCCAAAAGGCAGUGGCGGCACCAUGUCUGGUCCUCGAGCGUAUGGGGCUUUGUCACCCGCUCCCGUAGGUCCAGCUGGCAGCUAGCCUCGCAACCAAUCUUUUUAACCAGGUUGACCUCGGAUCAGGUAGGGAUACCCGCUGAACUUAAGCAUAUCAAUAAGCGGAGGA
rnacentral:misc_RNA from 1 species